rnacentral:lncRNA from 1 species
AAUUACAUCAGCUGUCUGGCAGCCUCAGCAAAGGGUCCUCCAGCAUACAGACUACAGGAUAUUAAGGAAAGGAAAAGAAAAAACCAAAGCAACAGCCUUUUCUCUUACAUUCGGAUAUCUUUAGGGAUAUAAGGAACCUCCAUCAGUGGCCGACCACGUAAUGAAGCUGCCACAUCUCUAUGGGCUGUGGCCAGUAUUGCUCCUGGAGUGGACCAGAGCUGCUUCUUAGAUGUUAUUCCUGUUUUCAGCAUCCAGGAGAGGACAGUGCUGGAAUGAAGCUUGUUUUGCCAGGGGAGGUGCAGAAUGAAUAUUAGGAAACAUUUCUUCUCAGAAGGAGCGGUGCUGCAGUGUUCACAGACUGCCCAGGGAGUGGUGGGGUCACCAUCCUUGGAGGUGUCCAAGAACCAUGGAGAUGUGGCACUGAGACAGAUGUAACUGAGAAAACAACAGUGACACUCCAGCAUCCCCUGUGCUCUGGUGCCCACGACCUGCAGUCAGCAUUGUAGGGUCCUGGGGAGGGCUCUGGGUGAGAACCCCUAUGUGCCUUCCGCAUGGAUGCCAAAGGACAGGAUGCCACCCAAUGGCCAGAGAUGACCCAGGUGGAAAACCUCGGUCCUAAGGCACAUUCCUGUGGUGUGAGUGUCCCAGGUACGCUGGGAGCUUUCUCCCUGUGAGCCCACACAUCCCACAGCCUCUUCUGUUCUCCUCUCAGAAUGUGGUUUUUCAGGUCUUCAGUGCUAGUUUUGGUUGCUGGACCACAGACUAAGCUUUACCUCUGGUUUCUGGAAUCAGCCUUUCACCCAGUAAGUAAGAAGAAUGACCCACAAAUGGACCGCCGUGUUUUGUUCUGCUCUCAAACUGAGCAGCAGGAACUCCUCUGGAUUCUGACCCAGCAGCACAUCUCCCAGCAAGUGAUGGGCUUGAAUGCCUGCAAGGGAGGGCUGGAGGGUUUCUGUGCAAACAAAACCCAUUUCUAACCUUGGCAGCUGCAGCAAAGAGCUCCUGGUUGUCACUCCGCACUCAGGGAGCCACACAAGAGGUCUCCUUCACACCGGCGUGUUUUCUGAAUGGCCCCUUGCAAACCUUGUAUGUGUGGGAAUUGCUACGAAAUUGAAAUAGGCUUGGACUUGUUCACAUCCACUCGCUGUAUUCAAGAUGAAAACACAUAGAAAAGCGAUUCAGAGCGACAGAACACUUUUUAAUUUAGAAAACAAAAGCUUUUCUGGAAGCCCAGAACUUCACCCAAACCACGAAUCAGAGCAGAAAUGUUGUAUUUUAGACUCACUGACACCUCUGACACACUGUUCACAGGUUGCCCAAGGAGGCUGUGGGUGCCCCAUCCCUGCAGGCAUUCAAGGCCAGGCUGGAUGUGGCUCUGGGCAGCCUGGUCUGCUGGUUGGCGACCCUGCACAUAACAGGGCGUUGGAACUGGAUGAGCACUGUGGUCCUUUUCAACCCAGACCAUUCUGUGAUUCUAUGAUUCCCAAAUAAUAGAAACUCCUGUGUG